UACCAGCUCUCCGAGUGGUGUGGAUGUUUAUUGGGCCUAAAGCAUCCGUAGCUGGCUGGACAAGUCCCCUGUUAAAUCCACCGAUUUAAUCGUUGGAGUGCGGGGGAUACUGUUCGGCUAGGGGACGGGAGAGGCAGACGGUAUUUUCGGGGUAGGGUGAAAUCUUAUAAUCCCGGGAAGACCACCAGUGGCGAAGGCUGUCGGCUAGAACGCGCCGACGGUGAGGGAUGAAAGCUGGGGGAGCGAACCGGAUUAGAUACCCGGGUAGUCCCAGCUGUAAACGAUGCAGGCUAGGUGUUUGGACGGCCACGAGCCGCCCUAGUGCCGCAGGGAAGCUGUUAAGCCUGCCGCCUGGGGAGUACGGCCGCAAGGCUGAAACUUAAAGGAAUUGGCGGGGGAGCACCACAAGGGGUGAAGCUUGCGGUUU
rnacentral:rRNA from 1 species